UGAUGGACCAAUUACAAUGGAGGAUUAGGUAACCAAUCACGAAUCAUGUUGUUGCGACGUCCAGUACGACUGCGCACGUUGGCAUGAGAGAAACAAAAAAACAUAUUGAUCAACUUUCUAAACCGAAUGCCACACUGAAAAUGAAAUUAAGGCUCGUGAUCCAAUCAGAUGCAGAGAGUGUGGAUACAGAAUCAUGUACAAGAAGAGAACAAAGAGAUUGGUUGUGUUUGACGCGCGGUGAAGUGGACGACGACAACAUUUGACUCAUUUUUGUUCUGUUCGUUUUUUAGUGUGUCACAGUGUUGCACCAAGUCACCAACACUUCAUAUUCUUUCUAGGAAACCCCACAGGCUUGGGAAGCACUACCACUAUGGGUGCCCAGUUGGUUGAUUCAUGUUCCUGCAACUGUAAUCAAUGAUAGAAAUGGUUUAUAAAAUACAUUUUGAUUGAUUGAACUUGUGGUUUUUGCACAUCAAGAAAAGAAACAGUGAACAAUAUUUUAUCAUUUGAAAAUAAAAAUAUGCAAAUGUAUUAAUUCGAAACAACAGAAUCUAUAUUAAUCAGAUUUAAACAACAGUUGGCCCUUAGACUCAACAACCCUGAAGCAACUAUCAGCAGACAAAAAUAAUCACAAAAAAUAGAUAUUGGACACUGUUAAAACAUUUGCAUGGAGAAAAGCACCAGGAAUGGACGGCUUUCUCAUAGAAUUAACAUUUUGGGACAAAGUAGCCCCCCCUUAUUUACACAAAUGACAACACACGUCACUCAAUUCAGUACUUCCUAGUUCCAUGUAUGAAACAGUUAUUUCAGUUAUGUUAAAAUCUGGAGAGUCCCCUGUUCAUUAUAGAUCCAUAAGUUUAAUAAAUUGUGACAAAAUAAUAACAAAGCUCAUAAGCAAUAGAAGGGCAAAAGUCUUACCAGAUUUUAUACAUAUCAAUCAAACAGGGGUUUAUUAAACAUUUACACAAACAAAUACAAGAACAUGUUUCAGUUUAAUACAAAUACGCUAAAAAAACAAGAUCUAGAUUGAUCAAUAAUGGAUGUUGAUGCCGGCUUUCGGCCGUCUUCAAUGGCCUUUUCUAUUCAAAACUUUGGAAGCUUUUAACUUUCCAGCUGAAAUAAUACAUUUAAUAAAAACAUUUCUAUAAAUGUCCUAAAGCAAAAAUAUACACAAAUAAUACAUUAUCUGAUAAAAUUGCUUUAGAAAGGGGCACAAGACAGGGAUGUUUUCUCCCACUCUCAUGUUUGCACUGGAAAUUGAACCGCUUCCAGAAAGAAUUAGACAGGACACAAACAUAUCAGUGUUGAUAAACAUGAAUAUAAACAAAACAUAUUUGCAGAUGAUCCCCCUCAUAUACCUGACCAAUAUUCAAAACUCGACCCCUUGCUAAAAAUAUUUUCAGAAUGUUCUAAAAUCUCAGGAUAUAAAAUGUAUGUGGAUUCAAAAAGAAAGAAAGCAUAAAUCAUGAUCUACAGCUUUAAGUUAGGGGGUUCCUUACUGAGCCCUGGACGACCAGGUGAGGGGUCCUUACUGAGCCCUGGACGACCAGGUGAGGGGUCCUUACUGAGCCCUGGACGACCAGGUGAGGGGUCCUUACUGAGCCCUGGACGACCAGGUGAGGGGUCCUUACUGAGCCCUGGACGACCAGGUGAGGGGUCCUUACUGAGCCCUGGACGACCAGGUGAGGGGUCCUUACUGAGCCCUGGACGACCAGGUGAGGGGUCCUUACUGAGACCUGGACGACCAGGUGAGGGGUCCUUACUGAGCCCUGGACGACCAGGUGAGGGGUCCUUACUGAGACCUGGACGACCAGGUGAGGAGAGUUCCUUACUGAGACCUAGACAACCAGGUGAGGGGAGUUCCUUACUGAGACCUAGACAACCAGGUGAGGGGAGUUCCUUACUGAGAUCUAGACAACCAGGUGAGGGGAGACCUAGACAACCAGGUGAGGGGAGUUUCUUACUGAGACCUAGACAACCAGGUGAGGGGAGUUCCUUACUGAGACCUGGACAACCAGGUGAGGGGAGACCUAGACAACCAGGCGAGGGGAGUUCCUUACUGAGACCUAGACAACCAGGUGAGGGGAGUUCCUUACUGAGACCUAGACAACCAGGUGAGGGGAGUUCCUUACUGAGACCUAGACAACCAGGUGAGGGGCGUUCCUUACUAAUUAGUGACCUUAAUUCAUCAAUCAAGUAUUCUAUUCUCGUUCUGAGAAAUGAAGGCUAUUCCAUGUUAGAAAUUGCCAAGAAACUGAAGAAGCGACUCCGGGAUGCUGGCCUUCUAGGCAGAGUUCCUCUGUCCAGUGUCUGUGUUCUUUUGCC
rnacentral:lncRNA from 1 species